AAUCAGCGAAAGGGAGCGAACACAAAAAAAGGGUCUUGAUCUUCUGAACAAAAAGAAGAAACGGGCAGAUAGGAGGAGGUGGGCAAGAAAAUUGGGGAUCUGAGAAAAAGAGGAAAAUCCCAACACCUCUUUCCUCUUCACUACGGUUCCGAGAUCCACUGUUCCGAGAUCACUGUUCAUCCUCCCUAAAACCAGCACUCGCAUCGAAAUGCCAAGUGAUUCAAAUCCCAGCUAGUUUCGGUCUUAGUUGUUUGAAAAAUGGGGGUUUGAGUUGAGGAUGACGAUGGAGUAGUUGAGUUCCGACAAGAUUUUGAGGUUUCAUGGAGGUUCUCAGUUGGUCGCGACUAAGGAAAGUGUAAACCCAAGUUCAUUUUUGAAAAGGCUUCUAAAGGGGUCCACCAUGGAUUAAGUGAUGCUACGAACUUCACCAGACCAUGCCGGAGCAUGUAAGUUCAGAAUCCUAGUGAAAGAGACUGAGUAGAACUGGAGGAGGCAUUGGCAUUUGGUCGAACACUGUUAUAUGAACAGUGUGCAGAAUGAUCAUUUUGGAUAUUCGAAAGAUUUCGCCCAUGUAAGGUCCGGUUUGAAGGUUUGGAAACAUUCUCCUGAGGAGCAGGAGUAGUUUGGCAUUGGUUUUGACUCCUUUGGUUUGCCUGAUCACCUUGCCCAGCCAACUGGUGAAGUUUUAAGUUUUCAACUUAGUGGUGAUGGUUGAUUUCUCGAAUGGAUUGAGCUGAAUCUUUUCAUAGAGGAUCCAUGGGUGUAGUAGAAGGGAUUCCAAUUGGAAAUUGGUCUCCAAUUGGCCCCGAAUUGAUAGGGGCAUUUCGUCGAACAACUUGUUUAACAAGACUGUCUGAGCUUUUGGGUUGUAAAAUUGGAGGAAUUGGUUGGUAUCCAUAUGCAAUUGGAAGUGUAGGAGCAUUCUCCUCAUCAAGGCGAACAUUUUGGUACCUUUCUUUUCCAAUUUGGAUACCUGGAACACCUUGCGCGUUCAUUUUUGUCUAGCCGGAGUUCUGCUGCUAGUCGGAGGGGACGAUUCUCGCGGUGGAAUUGUCGAACUAUGUUUCAGGCGUUUUUUUCCUUUUUGUAUUUGUAACUUUUUUUUCUAAUUUUGUAUUUAAAAAUGGGACCCACAAAUAACACAUGACAAGUAAUAAAUAGCUUAGCAUGAUGUGUUGUACAUGUCAGCGCAAUUGAUAUA